CCAAGAAUCCCAACCUUCCCUUCUUCAAAGACAGAGAGUGAGAGUCCAGUCUCCUCUCCUCUCCUCUCCUCUCCUCCUCAAAGCUCAAACCUCUGCCCCUCCUGUCUCCUUCUCGAACACCGCCGACCGCCCACUGCCGCCCGCCGCCUCCCACCCUCUGGGUCCCUUAAUGCUGUAGUCUCGUCUCUUCUCCUCUCGAAUCCUCCUCAAAAUUCAAACCCUCAGCCCCUCCUAUCUCCUUUCCAAACACCACCGACCGCCGCCUCCCACCUUCUGGCUCUGGGUCCCUCAGCGCUGCCUCCCACCUCCUAAGUGGCUCGAACACCGCCAACCGCCGCCUCCCUCCCUGCACAUCGUCUCUUCCCCUCGUCGCGGCAGACAUGUCACUGGUCGUCGUCUUCUCCUCUUUGCUGUUCGUCUACCAAAUCGCCGGUCUUCCUUGUGGUUUCUGCGUCGGAUAUCUGUGGAGUUCCCGAUCCCCGGCAGAUACGGGGUCCCCGUUACUCGUGGUGGGGACGGGGACUGGAUAUGGAGGCAGGGGGCGGGGGCAGGGGGCAUGUCCCCGCCCCCAUGGGUACCCGUUGCCAUCCCUACAUUGGACAGCGCUCCUGUGCGUCGCAACUAGCCAAGGAAAAAGACUAAGGCUAUGAAAUCACCAUUCACAGCACCAAGCACAAAGAGCAUGCUGCAGCGUGCGGGGUUACCCAUUAGAAGCCAAAUAAGGGGGGAGACAACGGAAGAAGACAGAUUCCUAGGUUCAUGAUUUCAUGUUGCGGAUUUUGUCAAGUUGAUGGUGACAAUCAAGACAAAACCUCUGCAUGGAUGUUGCUCAUGCUAGGCAUUAUGAUGUUUCUUUUCUUUGUAAAUUGAAUGGUUCUGAAUUUAUUUUUUGAUCUAUCAUAUUUUAGGCAUUUGAACUUGUAUAUACUUCAUUGAGAAGUGAGUUGCUCGUGUUUUGUUAGAUACUCCUCAGCAGGUUUCGUAAGUUAGGUAUUUCACAAUUCUCAAGCAAUUAGUUUUCAAUCUGUGGAUAUCACUGGUUCAUUAAGAAAUGCACUUCAUAUUUAUACUAUUUCGUCAACCCUGAUCGGUGUACAGUACCCUUUUGUUCAUGCCUAUGUUUAAGUUGCAGUUCUUUCCAUUCACUAACAUGGUGUUAACUAAAAGGAGGCAUUAUUUAUUUAUUUUUAUCACUGUUUUCUAUUGUUGAAAUUGUGAUGUUGAUGGAAGUCCUAGCUUUGCACGGCCUUCGAUCGUAAAUAGUCUACACGGUCGGUUCGUUUACAGUGGCUUCCGUGACUUCAACCAGGAUUUUAAUUGGAUGUUGCUACUGGUAGGCACACAGAUGUUUCUUUUUCAUGUAAAUUGGAUGGUUCUGAAUCUGUUUUGUCAACUAUAAUAUUUUAGGCAUUUGAACUUGUGUGUACUUCAUUUAGAAGUGUGUGGCUCGUGUUUUGUUAUAUACUCCUGAGCAGGUUUCAUAUGUUAGGUAUUUCAGGAUUCUCAAACAGUUAGUUUUCAGGAUACUCUGAUCGGUGUAUAUAACCCUUUUGUUUAUGCCUAUGCUUAAGUGGUAGUUCUUUCCAUUCACUAGCGUGGUGUUAACUAAGUGGAGGCAUUAAUUAUUUUUUUCCGAAUAUUUUCUGUUGCUGAAAU